rnacentral:rRNA from 1 species
UUCUGGUUUUUCAAGGGCGCAUGGUGGAUGCCUUGGCAUGCUGAGCCGAUGAAGGACGUGGGAGGCUGCGUUAAGCCUCGGGGAGUUGUCAACCGAGCGUUGAUCCGAGGAUGUCCGAAUGGGGAAACCUGGCCACUGUUAUGGGUGGUUACCCGCAUCUGAAUGAAAUAGGGUGUGUGGGGGUUACGCGGGGAAGUGAAACAUCUCAGUACCCGUAGGAGAAGAAAACAAUUGUGAUUCCGUUAGUAGUGGCGAGCGAACGCGGAUGAGGCUAAACCGUGCAUGUGUGAUACCCGGCAGGGGUUGUGUGUGCGGUGUUGUGGGGUUUGGACGUAUGUGUUCUGCCGGACAUGUGCCAUUGAACAUGCUUGUUAGUGGAAGUGGUGUGGAAACGCCUGCCGUAGAGGGUGAUAGUCCCGUACGUGAAAGCUUGUGUGUUGUGGUUGUUCUUGUCCCCGAGUAGCAGCGGGCUCGUGGAAUCUGCUGUGAAUCUGCCGGGACCACCCGGUAAGCCUGAAUACUCAGUGUGACCGAUAGCGGAAUAGUACCGUGAGGGAAUGGUGAAAAGUACCCCGGGAGGGGAGUGAAAUAGUACCUGAAACCGUGUGCCUACAAUCCGUCAGAGCUGCUUUGUGUGGUGAUGGCGUGCCUUUUGAAGAAUGAGCCUGCGAGUCAGCGGCGCGUCGCGAGGUUAACCGGUUUGUCGGGUAGCCGUAGCGAAAGCGAAUCCUAACGAGGGUGUGUUAGUGGCGUGUCCUGGACCCGAAGCGGGGUGAUCUACCCAUGGCCAGUGUGAAGCAGAGGUAAGACUCUGUGGAGGCGCGAACCCACUUAGGUUGAAAACUGAGGGGAUGAGUUGUGGGUAGGGGUGAAAGGCCAAUCAAACUCCGUGAUAGCUGGUUCUCCCCGAAAUGCAUUUAGGUGCAGCGCUGUGUUUU